AAGAGGAUGUGGUGAUGAAUUCAUCUCUCUCUCUCUACCCUGCUGUAGAAGGCAGCUGGUACUUUCAGUACAGUGUAGAAAGAUGUCUCCGACAACAUGUUGUCUAGGCUUGUUCUUCAUCUUAUUUCCAUGUCAUGUAAAGUGUGUUGCGUUUCGUCAGUCUCCGUCCCUGACAGUGAAGGACGGGCGCGAGGCGGAGAUCCACUGUAGCCAUGAUGACAGUAACCUGUUGGUGAUGUUGUGGUACCAACAGAGACAGGCCAGUCCUGGUAUGACUCUGAUCGGGUACAGUUACGGCACCACUGAGCCUAACUACGAGGGUUUGUUUGAGGAGAGGUUCAGGCAGAAGAGAGAGGAAAACCUGAAGGGAACUCUCGUCAUCUCCAAACUAACAGUAGCAGACUCUGCUGUGUACUUCUGCGCAGCCAGUCGCACAGUGAUGUGGCUUUACGUCAGCCUCUCACCAAAAACCUGACACACACACACACACACACACACACGCGCGCGCUCAGGAAAUCCAACGCAGGCUGCCGCUCCGGCUUUUCAAACGGUCUUAUAUGACAUCUGGUGGUUUUAACUUUAGAGAGUUUGUGUUAACGUGUCCGCAUAUUUCAGUUCAGAAGAGUUUGUGUUUGUAUUAUGAUGACAUUUUGUGAAGUUUUUGUUCAUUUUAUUUUCGGCUGAUCGGGCACAAAAUGUCAGUAGCCGAAGUCUAUGCGCUUUUCUGGUCUGGUCAAAAGUAGAGAUUCUUCAUCAAAGAUUUUGUUUUCAGUGAGAGAUGACUCAUUGUCAUUUAGAAAUACACCACCACACAUCUUAAUUAAAUGUAAAAUUGCGAGACUAAAAUCUCCUCUGUAAAAAUGUCAAAAUAAAUGACAGAUGCAUUGAGUUGUCUUAGAUUAAUUCGGACAAUUUUGAGGAAGUGUAUACUGGCUACUGCGUAUCAAGAUGGACCAACAGUACUAUUUGUCACUUUUUUCUCGUUUUUUCAAGUGAAGGUCUUCACAGAGGUCUUCACAGAGGUCUUCACAGAGGUCUUCACAGAGGUCUUCACAGAGGUCUUCACAGAGGUCUUCACAGAGUAUGCGAGGACACUAGGGGCCAGCCGAACUGAAGCAUACUGACACAAUUAGUGACCUUGAGGGAGGGGAU